AAUCCCAGCAGCCAAAGCAGUAAUUUGGGGGAAAAUUAUAACUUUAAUACAUAUAUUAGAAAAGAAGGAGUUUCUAAAAUGGAUGAUCUAAGCUUUCAUCUGAAGGAGCUAGCCAAUGAUGAGCAUAGAAAUUUUUUUAGUUUUUUUCUCCUGUUCAUCCAUCCUUCCUUUCCCCAUUUUCCCCAUGAAGCAUGCUUUUGACAAAAGGACAAUUGCUCAGGGAUCUAACUCUACAAAUGUGAUUGUUACUGUUAAAGAAUUGAAUAAAGAUGUCUUCUUUGUAGUCUUGAAAAAUAAAUAGAAAAGAAAGCAUCACGCAUGCACACUGCUGAUUCUUUAAUGCUGAUAGAAUCAUCCGGUGAAAACAGAAGGGAAGCUAAAAGGGAGACUUAGAUUGGUUUAUAUUGCCUAAAUUAUUAAAAUAAACAUCAGCAAGCUACCCAAAGCCUUAUUUCACACUUAAAGUGUCAAAGAUAAGCAUGCAGUUGAGUUGGUAAAGAAUGUUACCCUCUACUUUUCAAUCCAUAUUUCUCCCA
rnacentral:lncRNA from 1 species